GGAAGGAGCCGCGACUACUUGCAGGAAGGUGAAGCGUCUGUGCUGCUGAGGUGGGGGGAGAAGAGUACCAAUGUAUGAAGCCUUAAAGAAACGGCAGUUUGGAGAAAGGCACCGACUCGGGAGCUGUGUUUUUCUCCAGAGUUCCCUCCAGCCCUCCCCGGCUAAGGCUCGGCCCCAACAGUCCCGCGCCUCACCCAAGUGCCCCGAGUCCUGCUUCCGCCUCCGCUGCAGCCUCUCCCGCAGAGAAUCCAGCUGCUUUUUAUGGGCCUGGAUAGAGCUCCACGUGUCCGACAUUUCGGUCUCGCAGCCCAGACACGUCCCGAACCAAGGGCGACUGCCUUCCACCUCUCAGCCCUAGUUCCAAGAAUUAUCCAACUCUCAUGCGGACACCCGAAGCCUAACCGGAAAGAGAUCCCGGGAGACGCACCGGACGGAAAGUCAUUUCCGGUUUUGCUCUCCCUUUGAAGCUGAAACGAGAGCCACCUUAAGUGUUGGCGGAAUGGCGGCAACCUGCGGCACACGGAACUUACCUGACCAGGGAUUGAACCCACAUCCCUUGCAGUGGAAGGCAGAGUCUUAACCACCAGACCGCCAAGGAAGACCCUACUUAACAGCAUAACACUCCAGUUAAAGAAGCCCAGAACUGUGAAGAACAAAGAGAAGGUAGGUGAUUGGAAUGAGAUCCUUGGAAGAGAAAGAAGAGGGGCCAGUCAGGGAUGCUAAUUCCCAGAGCUCUGUAACUCCUCUGGACUCAAGGCCUCACUUUCUGGGUGCAGACCUGGAGGAUGACAAACUUUCAACUUACAGAGAAAAUGUGAAGACUUACAAAAGAAAUUAUGAAAGAAGUAAAGGAAAGAACAUUAUAACAAUUAGCUAAGCUCCCCUUGCACAGCUGGAGAAAACUGGAAGAAGAAUUUACCGAGAGUGGGCAGGGGCGAGCUCCGCGGCGCGAGCCGCACGAAUGAGAGAAACGUGCCCCUCGCGAGGCGUCGCGCGCGCCCGGGACAGGGAGCCAAUGAGAACGCUGGGAGGGCUCGAGACCCGGCCCUGAGGUCGACGGCCGCGCGCCGGCUCGAAGACGAGCGUCGCCGGGCGAGAGCGCGCGGAGCGGGGCUGGCUUGGAGUAUGCGGAGGCCGCGCUCUGCCUCUCAGAGGCCGGACGGCGCUGCGGAGCGGCGGCGACGGCAGCGGUAACUGGAACCGCGUGGAGGGUGAGGCCCUGGGACACCUUUGAACUCUGCAUCCAGAAAGCCCAAGAUGGAAGAAGAAAGGUCAGAGACAUUGACUAACCUGGAAACAGGGACCUCUUUGGAACUUUGCUUUCAUCCACAGUAGCUUUUAAAAGUAUCAUCGAGUGGAAGUGAUUUCCUCGUCUUAUUUUGCUUAUUGGGAAGAACAUGGCUUCAGGGAUUUUAUGUUUCCCUUUAGUUUUGCAUGAACUCCAUAGGAAAAGGAGCCUUUAAAGGGUUUGGGAGUAACAAGAAGAGACUGAAGACAGACAGGCUUGUGCGUGCUGUUUUCCCUCCCCUUCAAAGAAAAGGAUUUACAACGCAACCUUGUAACAGCUGCUGCCCAGCUUUAACCACCAAGAGAAAGUAAAAUAAAUAAAUAAAUUUAA